CCGUUAACUAACCAAAUAUGAGCGAGUUGAGAUCAGCUCAUGUUUGCUCGAUGAUUAAACGAGUUUGCAUACAGCUGAUUAGUUAAAAUAUUGAGUAAAAUAAUUCAACUCGUCUUCGACUUAUUUAUUAAAAAAUCGAAUAUAAAUUAGCUCACGUACGAUAAGUCAAAUGGUCAGCUCAACUACUAGAUGAAAAGUAGAAAAUUAGAAUAUAAAUUUAAUAAUUAAAAUUUAUAAAAUAUAAGUCACUCUUCACAUUUGAGAUGAUCUAAAAUUCAAAUAGAUUAAAGGGAAAACUUUUAAAAAAACCUCUAUAAUUUCGCACUUUCUCAUUUUAAUAUCAGUGGUUUAAAGUGUACCAAUUUAGUACGCUGUGGUUUCACACUUUCUCACUUUAGUGCCCUGUGGUUUAAAGUAUAUCAAGUUAGUACCCCGUGGUUUCGCAUUUUCUUACUUUAGUACCAUGUGGUUUAAUAUUUCAUUAAAUUAUAUACAAAAAACUUCAGAUACCCUAACUAUGUUUAUCGAAUAUUCAUUUUAGUACCCUUUAGUUUUAACUUUGUCAUUGAUUUAACGAAAAAAAUACUCUGAAAUGAAUAAUAAAAAAAAAAUAAAACCAUAGAGUACUAACUUGAUAUAAAAAUGAAACUACGGAGUACUAAUUUGAUACACUUUAAACCAUAGGGUACUAUAGUGAGAAAGUGCGAAACCACAAAAUAUUAACUUGAUACACUUUAAAUCACAUAGUACUAAAGUAAAAAAGUGCAAAAUCACAGGAGGGGUUUUUUUAAAGUUUUUCCUAAAUUAAAUUUGUAAUACAUAUACACAUUCAAGCUAUAUCGAGCCAAACAUGAGGGAGCUAUCACAGUUCGUGUUCAGCACGUUAAGAUUUCGAGACGGAAAAACUCGUGUUCGACUUAUUUAUUAUACGAUGGAUCGAUCUCAAACUAAUUUCGAGCCGAAUGUGAGCUCGCUCGAGAACAGCGAGUUGGAUUGUCAGUCCAAACCAUAAAUAAUAUUUUAGAUUUUGAAAGGG
rnacentral:lncRNA from 1 species